rnacentral:rRNA from 1 species
AUGGCCCAAGAACACGCUCAUUCUUCAGCCGUAGAGAGACUUUUGAAUUGUGAGGUACCAUUACGAGCUCAAUAUAUAAGAGUGUUAUUCUGUGAAAUAACUCGAAUUUCAAAUCAUUCACUUGCUUCAACUACUCAUGCUAUGGAUGUGGGAGCAUCAACUCCGUUCCUUUGGGCUUUUGAGGAGCAGGAGAAAUUGUUGGAAUUCUAUGAAAGAGUCCCGGGAGCCAGGAUGCAUGCCAGUUUCAUACGACCUGGUGGAGUGGCACAAGAUCUGCCUCUUGACUUAUGUCGAGAUAUUGAUUCCUCCACACAACAAUUUGCUUCUCGUAUCGAUGAAUUAGAAGAGAUGUCAACCGGCAACCGUAUCUGGAAACAACGAUUAGUGGAUAUUGGUACUGUCACUGCACAGCAAGCAAAGGAUUGGGGAUUCAGUGGUGUAAUGUUAAGAGGUCGUGCGACAUGA